rnacentral:rRNA from 1 species
AAGUCGAGCGAACAGAUGAGAAGCUUGCUUCUCUGAUGUUAGCGGCGGACGGGUGAGUAACACGUGGGUAACCUACCUAUAAGACUGGGAUAACUCCGGGAAACCGGGGCUAAUACCGGAUAAUAUUUUGAACCGCAUGGUUCAAUAGUGAAAGACGGUUUCGGCUGUCACUUAUAGAUGGACCCGCGCCGUAUUAGCUAGUUGGUAAGGUAACGGCUUACCAAGGCGACGAUACGUAGCCGACCUGAGAGGGUGAUCGGCCACACUGGAACUGAGACACGGUCCAGACUCCUACGGGAGGCAGCAGUAGGGAAUCUUCCGCAAUGGGCGAAAGCCUGACGGAGCAACGCCGCGUGAGUGAUGAAGGUCUUCGGAUCGUAAAACUCUGUUGUUAGGGAAGAACAAAUUUGUUAGUAACUGAACAAGUCUUGACGGUACCUAACCAGAAAGCCACGGCUAACUACGUGCCAGCAGCCGCGGUAAUACGUAGGUGGCAAGCGUUAUCCGGAAUUAUUGGGCGUAAAGCGCGCGUAGGCGGUUUCUUAAGUCUGAUGUGAAAGCCCACGGCUCAACCGUGGAGGGUCAUUGGAAACUGGGAAACUUGAGUGCAGAAGAGGAGAGUGGAAUUCCAUGUGUAGCGGUGAAAUGCGCAGAGAUAUGGAGGAACACCAGUGGCGAAGGCGGCUCUCUGGUCUGUAACUGACGCUGAUGUGCGAAAGCGUGGGGAUCAAACAGGAUUAGAUACCCUGGUAGUCCACGCCGUAAACGAUGAGUGCUAAGUGUUAGGGGGUUUCCGCCCCUUAGUGCUGCAGCUAACGCAUUAAGCACUCCGCCUGGGGAGUACGACCGCAAGGUUGAAACU